rnacentral:rRNA from 1 species
CUGCUCAAUGAAGAGUUAAAUAGCCGCAGUAUUUUGACUGUGCGAAGGUAGCAUAAUAAUUAGUCUCUUGAUUAGGGACUUGUAUGAAUGAUUGAACAAGAAAAUUUCUGUCUCUUUUUAAUUUGUUUAUGAAUUUAAUUUUUGAGUUAAAAUGCUCAAAUAUUUAUAAAAGACGAGAAGACCCCAUAGAGUUUUAUUUUUAUAUAUUUUUAGUAUAAUUAUUUUACACAAAAAUUAGUUGGGGUGACUAGAAGAUUAAAUAAACUCUUUAAAUUAAAAUCAUUGAUUUAUGAAUGUAAAGUCUAAUUUUUUAAGUUUAAAUUAAAUUACCUUGGGG